GUCACUUUGGCGGAGUGGUUAACGCGCUGCCCUGCUAAUCACCAAGUUAGCAGCUUAAGGCAGUUCCUUCGGGAGCGUAGGUUCGAAUCCUACAGGUGACG